CCCUUAGAUGUUCUGGGCAGCACGCGCGCUACAAUGGUCUUCGCAAACGGAUGCAUUCUCGAAGGAGAAUGCCAAUCUUGGAAUCUAUGCCUUGGUCGGGACAGUUGCUUGCAAUUUUUCGACUCGAACCAGGAAUUCCUUGUAAUCGUGAUUCAUCACAUCACGAUGAAUACGUCCCUGCACUUUGUACACACCGCCCGUCGCUCCUACCGAUCGAAGAGUUAGGUGAAUUGUUUUGAUCGAUAAGAUUUGACUAUGGUCAACUCUCGUUGUGAAAUUCUGUGAAUCUGACUGUUUAGAGGAAGGAAAAGUCGUAACA
rnacentral:rRNA from 1 species